UACGUAGGCAGCGAGCGUUGUUCGGAGUUACUGGGCGUAAAGGGUGUGUAGGCGGUCCUCCAAGUUUGGGGUGAAAUCUCCCGGCUCAACCGGGAGGGUGCGCCGAAAACUGGGGGGCUAGAGUGCGGGAGGGGAGAGUGGAAUUCCUGGUGUAGCGGUGAAAUGCGUAGAUAUCAGGAGGAACACCGGUGGUGUAGACGGCUCUCUGGACCGUAACUGACGCUGAGACACGAAAGCGUGGGUAGCAAACAGG
rnacentral:rRNA from 1 species